GGAUUACAGGCGUGAGCCACCGCGCCUUGCCCAAUUAAUCCAUAUUUUUCUAGGGAAUAAAUCGUGAUAAAACCUGUGAAUUCCAUGGUUAUGAGCCCACUGUCACAUUGCCACCUCUGAAAAGUGUAUCCCUGCAGGGAGAUGUUUGAGUUUUGACACCAUUUGGGAUAGACAAGACAUUCUUUAAGUCCAUGAACUUUGGUGCUGGCAGACAUACUGGGGACAGGAAAGGCAAAUCCAUACUUGGAGCAAAUAUUUGUCUCUGUGAGGCUAAUUCUGCCUCCUACCUGAUGAAAGGGAUCCAAAGUUAUCUACCUGCAAUCAGAUGUCUUUGCUGGGUCUCUUUAAGGAGCGGUGUCAUUUUAGGGUCUUAGUGUUGAUCUGCUGUGGCUGAUUGGACAUUGAGUUCUGGCAGAGGCCAGAUCAGUCUUGGUGAGAGUGUGCUACUGAGCCCAUGCAUAGCGUCCAUCCCUGCCAUAUGUGUGCUUUGUUCAUGGGCCAAUUAAGCAAGUACGUGGGAAGUGAGGGAAAGAGACUGAUAGAUAUCCACAGAUUGGAUCAUCUUGACCACAUGAUUAUUGUUAGAAACAGAAUUGUGGCCCCCAAAUUCAUAUAGUGAAGCCCUAAUUCCCCCAUGUGACUGUAUUUGGAGACAGGAGAUAAUUGAGAUCAUAAGGGUUGAGGCCUAAUCUCAUAGGAUCGCUGUCCUUAUAAGAAGUGGAAGAAACAUCAGAGAGCUCUCCCUCUCCACACACACAGAAGAAAGGCUACAUGGGGACAAGAGAGGGCAACUGUCUACAAAUCUGGAAGAGAGACUUCAGAAGAAACCAGCACUGAUGGCACCUGAUCUUGGACUUCCAGCCUCUGGAUCUAUCUGCCAGAGCCUGAUCUCAUACACACUGAUGUGGUACAGGAAAUGCCACCUGAAAAUAUGGUACCUUGGCAUUUGAGGAAACAGUAGAAGGAGGUCAUAGAAACUAGAAAGAAUUCCUCCUUGCUCUUUGUCCCCCAAAGGAGCCAUAAAACCCGGGCCGAGUUUCUUCUGAAAAUAAGUUAUAAGAUCC
rnacentral:lncRNA from 1 species